rnacentral:rRNA from 1 species
AUUGAACGCUGGCGGCAUGCUUUACACAUGCAAGUCGAACGGUAACAGGCCGCAAGGUGCUGACGAGUGGCGAACGGGUGAGUAAUGCAUCGGAACGUGCCCAGUCGUGGGGGAUAACGCAGCGAAAGCUGUGCUAAUACCGCAUACGAUCUAUGGAUGAAAGCGGGGGACCGUAAGGCCUCGCGCGAUUGGAGCGGCCGAUGUCAGAUUAGGUAGUUGGUGGGGUAAAGGCUCGCCAAGCCAACGAUCUGUAGCUGGUCUGAGAGGACGACCAGCCACACUGGGACUGAGACACGGCCCAGACUCCUACGGGAGGCAGCAGUGGGGAAUUUUGGACAAUGGGCGCAAGCCCGAUCCAGCAAUGCCGCGUGCAGGAAGAAGGCCUUCGGGUUGUAAACUGCUUUUGUACGGAACGAAAAGGUUUGGGUUAAUACCCUGGGCCGAUGACGGUACCGUAAGAAUAAGCACCGGCUAACUACGUGCCAGCCGCCGCGGUAA